rnacentral:rRNA from 1 species
UUAAAUUGAGAGUUUGAUCCUGGCUCAGGAUGAACGCUGGCGGCGUGCUUAACACAUGCAAGUCGAGCGAUGAAGUUUCCUUCGGGAAACGGAUUAGCGGCGGACGGGUGAGUAACACGUGGGUAACCUGCCUCAUAGAGUGGAAUAGCCUUCCGAAAGGAAGAUUAAUACCACAUAACGUUGAAAGAUGGCAUCAUCAUUCAACCAAAGGAGUAAUCCGCUAUGAGAUGGACCCGCGGCGCAUUAGCUAGUUGGUGGGGUAACGGCCUACCAAGGCGACGAUGCGUAGCCGACCUGAGAGGGUGAUCGGCCACAUUGGGACUGAGACACGGCCCAGACUCCUACGGGAGGCAGCAGUGGGGAAUAUUGCACAAUGGGGGA